GUUUUCAUUGACUUGGGUAAUCCAAGCAUCGUCGCACUUAUACCAUUGAUUACUUAGCCGCAAGUAGGUGACAUAAUGACCAGCGUCCAAUUUUCCUUUGUGAGUAAUAACAGCAAACAACUCAAACUCCGACGAUGUCUCGUUACAACCAUCUUGUUCAUCUCCAUCAAAAGGAAAAAUCCUAUUCCCAAACCGACUUCUCAAGAUUGAAGAUGAGAGAUAG
rnacentral:misc_RNA from 1 species